CUGGUUGGGUGUCAAAUGCCUAAUGUGAUUGGUUGUAUACAAUUUUUUUUUUGUAAAUUCAUGUUUUCUGCCGAAAUUUUCUUCUAACUAUUUGCAUAAUAUUGACUGAUAUGUUUUUUAUCUUAUGUAGAAUAGAUGCCUUGAAGAGGCAUCUUCUGCUCUGUGACAACAAGAAGUUAAGAGAAGAAGUGACAGGGUUGAAGAGGAGGUUUAUGCUGCUGCCAUAGGCCAGGUUUGUUAUGUUCUUUGAUAUCGUAUUAAUAGCUUUUUAGUUUUUUCUUUUUUUCUUUGAUGGAUUGAUGAUUUGCAAGUUAUCUCACGUUCAUUUAUUGCAAGUUAUAUCAUGUUCGUUGAUUGCAAGUUGUGUUCUUUGGUUGCUUGAAUGGGCCAGAUAAGUAUUAAGUUAUAACGGGUCAGAUGGCCCAGUUUUGGUCUACAUUUGACCUGGUAUUGGAUGACCGAAUUAGCUGGAAUAUGGACGUUAAGAAGCUGUGAAUGUUGAAGUUUGUUGCUGGAAAAAAGGAUAGGUGGUUAAUUAAUUUGCAUGUGCUUUUUUCUAUGUUUAUUUAUUAUAAAUAGAGUAGUGAGUAGGUUUGUUUGUUUACCACAUAUUAAUUCGAUGAUAUAUUUCAAGCAGUCUUCAUCUUUAUUUUUCUACAUGUUAUACUUCAUAUGGAUUCUUACGUGAGUUUUGAGUGUGUGUUCGUUUUGAGUGUGUGUUCUUGGGCCUGAACCAACAGUUGUGCACCGAUUGCUGGUGGUGAUUGGAGAGGGUAGACCGAAUAUGAAAUCUAAGUGGGAUAAGGUCGACAAGGACAGAAGACAUCCCAGUGGACAGGUCCUUGUAUCAAGUGUUGGGUCAACAUUCUUAUCUGCUGGCACCGAGUAAACAGUCUUCGCGUGAGUCUUUUGAACUAGAUAUUAUCUUCCCAUCCAUUCACAAAUGUUUGAUCUUUUCCUUAUUAUAAUAUCCUAUGGAAAUAAGCAAGGCCACUGCCCCAACACAAACUGAUUCAAGUGCAUUAACUUAUUUAUGAACAUAUUUUUUUAAGUUUUGACCCCUAGGUGAUGGCAUUGAUCCUAGAAAAUAGACAUUUUGUUUAGGUAAAUUAUGAACUCUUUUUACUACACUUUAGGAUGUGUUGAGACCUUCACAAGGAGUGUGAGUUUAAUAUUGCCUAGAUUCUAUUAUCCCUAGAUGUAUUAUCAUUUCAACCCAGGUUAGUUCAACUUGUAAUUAGAUACUUAUUAAGCUGGACUCGGAUAAUGUUUUAUCAACGGUCAAGUGGGUUCCAUGGGUUAGUCGACUGACGUGUAUUGUGAACAAUUUAACUUUUGUAAUUACACUUAACAAACUAUUUAUUUAAAAAAUGAAAAGUUUAAAGUCUUUGGCAAAAAAGUGUUUGACCUGAAUGAAAAGUUUAAAGUCUUUAAACGGAACAUCACCCUUCAAGUCACAUAAUAAUAUAUUAUUUUACAAAAGGUUUUGUGACCCGUUAUCAACCCGAAUCCAUAUUGGCCUGAAUGAUCCACAGUUUUUAUCGCAUAUUCUCGAGCUAAGUUGACCUUUAAACGUGUACGGGGUUUUCGUCAGCCAAAAAACUUUAGCAUUUAGUUGAAUUUGACUUUAGGAUUCUGCAACUGAUCGAUAAGAGGGGCAAGAAGAACUAGGGUUGGUAUUGGGCCUUUGCCAAUUGGGUUAUUAUUUUGGGGUUCAUUAAAAUAAAAGAAUAUCCUAACCUAAUUUGGUUCUUCUCCUAAGACUACUCGGUGUGGGGAGCGGCCUAGGACCGACGAGGGUACUUGAUAUGGAGUAGGUUACUUAGAAUAACCAAUUAUUCCACAUUUUCAUUUGAUUUAGUAAAUAGGUUGGUAUUUGUGAUUUCGUUUGAUUUAGUCUUUUUUUGUGAUGUAUGGUACUUGAUAUGGAGCUAUAAGGCACUAUAUUUAUCCAGCGCACAUGAUGAGAGUGGCGUAGGGUUGGGAAUCAGACCAACAACAAGAACAAAAAAUGGCUCUAAGGUUGCACGCCGGGUGUUCGAGAUAUUGCCUGAAUGAGUAGACUUCAAUUGAUUCUAUGUUCAUUUGGCCGCUGACCCAGGUUGAAGGAUGCCAUAUGUUUCAGACUAUACGAAGAUUCCCACCUGGUUAUCAUUAGGUUAAAUUUUAAAUUUAUAUCAUCUCAUUUGUUGAUAAGCUUGUAAUUAUACUUUAGCAAGUUUGGUGAGGAAGUGUAUUGUUUUGAACAUGUAGGAUGUCUAGUUGGAUAUGUUGAUAAGGUAGCUAUAUGCCAACUUCUUUCUAAUUUGUUUGUGCUUAAGACUUUGUGAACUUAUUUAUUUGUUCGUGUGUGAUCA